UACGUAGGGUGCAAGCGUUGUCCGGAAUUAUUGGGCGUAAAGAGCUCGUAGGCGGUUCGGCAAGUCGGAUGUGAAAUCUCCACGCUUAACGUGGAGGGGCCAUUCGAAACUGCUGUGACUCGAGUCCGGUAGGGGAGUGUGGAAUUCCCGGUGUAGCGGUGAAAUGCGCAGAUAUCGGGAGGAACACCAGUAGCGAAGGCGGCACUCUGGGCCGGUACUGGACGCUGAGGAGCGAAAGCGUGGGGAGCGAACAGG
rnacentral:rRNA from 1 species